UCCAGUGUGUCUGUGAGGAUGUAGUCAAAGGAGAUUAACAUUUGAGUCAGCGGACUAGGAGAGGCAGACCCACCCUCAAUCUGAGUGGGCACCAUCUAAUCAGCUUCCAGCAUGGCUAGAAUAAAGCAGAGAAAAGAAGCUGGAAGGAUCAGACUUGCUGAAUCUUCUGGCCUUCAGCUUUCUCCCGUGCUGGAUGCUUCUUGCCCUCAAAUAUUGGACUUGAAGUUCUAUGGCUUACUACAAAACAUUGCUGCUUAUAAUAAGCAAAACAUCAAUAACUCUUUUUUUUUUGAGACAGUCUUACUCUGUUCUAAUUUCACAUUUUCACAAGACUUAAUAAUGUUUAAUAUCAUUAAAAAACAAGUACUUUCAAGUAAUCAAGGAAAACUAAUUAUGUUCAGUAUUGAAUUGGGUAAGAGUGGUCUUACUAUCUACUAAUCAUCUAA
rnacentral:lncRNA from 1 species